GGGAGUUUGGCCGAGUGGUUAAGGCGUCGUGUUUAGGUCAUUCUAACGAAUACCUUGUAACAUCCGCGAUGGGAAACCGCGCAGGUUCGAAUCCUGCAGCUCUCA